CACAGGAAGGCCAAAAAGAUCAUCAAGGACAACAACCACCCGAGCCACUGCCUGUUCACCCCGCUAUCAUCCAGAAGGCGAGAUGCCCAGAGAAUAAGAGGCUAUGGGUUUUCUGGCUUUUCCAGAAUGGAAGUUGCGCAGAGGCAAACAGGUGGCAGCUAUCCCCAGGAUCAAUUCAGACCAGCCUCUCGUGGCUCUAUCCCCAGCAGCUUUACCUCUGCCCAGACAAAGGGUAAGAGGACCCGUGCCAAGAAUACUGACAUUAGCCUCUCUGGUUCUAUAGCCAGUGGCGCCUCUGCCAUCCACAACAUGCAUCAAACCAAGGCCAGCAGAACCUAUAGUCAAAGUGUCUCUGACCCCAGUGCAGUAAGGCCAGUUUCAAGUUGGGAGGCAAAGAGAAUUCAGCCCUACACUCUUCAUCCAGUACAGCCUCACUCCAGCAGCUCUGGUUUAGUCCAGAAUCCAUAUGGUAUGUUUAAUGUCCACAGUAGACCUGCCUCUAACCUGAAACCAUCUACUCCAAACUAUGGCUCUACCCAGAGUGGAUUGAAGUUCUCCACCUCCAGACAACCCAACCAAGGCCUUGUCCAGACUCAGAGUAGAGGAGCCCCCAGCCUCUAUGGUCAAGCUGCUACCCUCACCCGCUAUGUCCAGGACCUGGAGCAAGGGAGCAGCUUCUCUACCCUGGCUUCCAAGGGACCAAUAGAAAUCUCUGCCCAGUCAAUUUCCACUCCUGACCGUCAAGUUCCCUCAAGUGGUUCUUCAUUUAGACCAGGUCCUCUGAGUUUUGGUUCUACUCAAGGUGGGAGUGCAGCAAAAAGCUACAAGCCUAGCUUCUCCCAAGAUGUUAUGCAAUACCAGAGCAGCUCUGCCAGUAGAAGUGUUUCAACUUCCAAUCAAUAUGCCCAAACAUCUGGCCAGAGACUAGAUGGAGCAAGUCGCGGCAUGCCCACUUCCAGCCUGGCCUCUCGCUCCAGUCUUUUUCGCCCUAGCUCUACAGCUUGUGGAAACUCUUAUGGAGCCUUCAAGCCUGGCUCUGACCCUGGUGCAACACCAAGCCAAAGCCUGUUUACCUCUAACCAGGGUGGAAGGGGUUCAACAUACAGCCAGAAUCUCCUUGCUAAACGUGCCCAAAGGAAGUAUGGCCAAAUGUCUGCUCAUUGGGGGAGCUACCAGCCCAGCUAUGCUGCCAGUAGUGGGCCAGUCUCCAGCCUCUUCAGUUCAACAUUCAUCCAGAAUGCUCCUGCCACAGCCCAGAAGACUGGGGGCAGGUUUAGAGCCACUUGACAACACUAUCAGCCCAGCUAAUGAAGUGAAGUCCAACACUAGCUCUCCCAGAAGUCCCACCCAGAUCCUCUUGUCUAGUAGCUAUGGCCCUACCCUGAGCAGGACCAGCAGUGCCAUCUCAUCCACCCCUCAACGCUUUGCCCAGACCAGCAUCCCAGAAUUGUACGGCGGAUCUCCAAUCUACUGGCUCAAAGACCCUACUCGGUAGGUGUAGUGCCUCCCCUAGCAACUCAACCCAGCUCUUCAAGUGUCGGCAAGCCACAGCCAAACCACACUAUCUGCCAAGCAGAAAGGCCCCAACACUACCUAUGUCUGAGUCCAGAGCUUUAGGGGAGUCCAGAACAUGACGAAGUGGGAUCUGUAGCCACCAGUUGAGGUGAGAUUUCAGUUUCUCUGUAUUGUUAUGCCACUUGGGCUGUGUAGGUUUA
rnacentral:lncRNA from 1 species